rnacentral:rRNA from 1 species
AUACGGAGGAUGCGAGCGUUAUCCGGAUUUAUUGGGUUUAAAGGGAGCGUAGGUGGGAUAUUAAGUCAGCUGUGAAAGUUUGGGGCUCAACCUUAAAAUUGCAGUUGAUACUGGUUUCCUUGAGUACGGUACAGGUGGGCGGAAUUCGGGGUGGAGCGGUGAAAUGCUUAGAUAUCACGAAGAACUCCGAUCGCGAAGGCAGCUCACCGGGCCGGAACUGACACUGAUGCUCGAAAGUGCGGGUAUCAAACAGGAUUAGAUACCCUGGUAGUCCGCACAGUAAACGAUGAAUACUCGCUGUUUGCGAUACACUGUAAGCGGCCAAGCGAAAGCGUUAAGUAUUCCACCUGGGGAGUACGCCGGCAACGGUGAAACUCAAAUGAAUUGACGGGG